AACGCACAUUGCGCCCGCCAGUAUUCUAGCGGGCAUGCCUGUUCGAGCGUCAUUUCAACCACUCAGGCCCUGGUGCCUGGCGUCGGGGUAUUUCUGUAACAAGAAAUCCCCUAGAAUCAGUGGCGGACCCGCCGCGGCUCCGAGCGUAGUAGUAAAAUAUCUCGCUAUGGAGGUCCGUGGGGGGCUAACCGGCCGUAAAACCUCUUCUUUACUGAAGAACUUCUCAAGGUUGACCUCGGAUCAGGUAGGAAUACCCGCUGAACUUAA
rnacentral:misc_RNA from 1 species